rnacentral:rRNA from 1 species
UACUAUAGCUUGACACUGAACAUUGAGCCUUGAUGUGUAGGAUAGGUGGGAGGCUUUGAAGUGUGGACGCCAGUCUGCAUGGAGCCGACCUUGAAAUACCACCCUUUAAUGUUUGAUGUUCUAACGUAGACCCGUGAUCCGGGUUGCGGACAGUGUCUGGUGGGUAGUUUGACUGGGGCGGUCUCCUCCUAAAGAGUAACGGAGGAGCACGAAGGUUGGCUAAUCCUGGUCGGACAUCAGGAGGUUAGUGCAAUG